GAAUAAGGAUCGGCUAACUCCGUGCCAGCAGCCGCGGUAAUACGGAGGAUGCAAGCGUUAUCCGGGAUUUAUUGGGUUUAAAGGGUGCGCAGGUGGUUUAAUAAGUCAGUGGUGAAAGUCUGGCGCUCAACGUUAGGAUUGCCAUUGAUACUGUUAGACUUGAAUAUGGAUGAGGUAGGCGGAAUGUGUAGUGUAGCGGUGAAAUGCUUAGAUAUUACACAGAACACCGAUUGCGAAGGCAGCUUACUAAUCCAUCAUUGACGCUGAGGCACGAAAGCGUGGGGAUCAAACAGGAUUAGAUACCCUGGUAGUCCACGCUGUAAACGAUGAUAACUUGUUGUUGGGCACAUAGUGCUCAGUGGCUAAGCGAAAGCGAUAAGUUAUCCACCUGGGGAGUACGAUCGCAAGGUUGAAACUCAAAGGAAUUGACGGGGGCCCGCACAAGCGGAGGAGCAUGUGGUUUAAUUCGAUGAUACGCGAGGAACCUUACCCGGGCUCGAACGUAUAUUGAAUAACGUGGAAACAUGUUAGUCGCAAGACAAUAUACGAGGUGCUGCAUGGUUGUCGUCAGCUCGUGCCGUGAGGUGUCGGGUUAAGUCCCAUAACGAGCGCAACCCUCAUCAUCAGUUGCCAGCACGUAAUGGUGGGGACUCUGGUGAAACUGCCGGUGUAAACCGAGAGGAAGGUGGGGAUGACGUCAAAUCAGCACGGCCCUUAUGUCCAGGGCUACACACGUGUUACAAUGGCCGGUACAGAGGGCAGCUACCUGGAGACAGGAUGCGAAUCUCGAAAGCCGGUCUCAGUUCGGAUCGGAGUCUGCAACUCGACUCCGUGAAGCUGGAUUCGCUAGUAAUCGCGCAUCAGCCAUGGCGCGGUGAAUACGUUCCCGGGCCUUGUACACACCGCCCGU
rnacentral:rRNA from 1 species